GCGCGUGUGGCGAAAUUGGUAGACGCACCAGAUUUAGGUUCUGGCGCCGCGAGGCGUGGGGGUUCAAGUCCCUCCACGCGCACCA
rnacentral:tRNA from 3 species